rnacentral:rRNA from 1 species
UACGUAGGAUGCAAGCGUUGUCCUGAUUUAUUGGGUUUAAAGGGUGCGUGGGCGGCCUAUUAAGUUAGUGGUGAAAACGUUCGGCUUAACCGGAUACCCGCCAUUGAUACUGAUAGACUUGAGUGCGACAGAGGGUGUUGGAAUGUGUGGUGUAGCGGUGAAAUGCUUAGAUAUCACGCAGAACACCAAUUGCGAAGGUAGAUGCCUAUGUCGUAACUGACGCUGAGGCACGAAAGCGUUCGGAGCAAACAGG